rnacentral:rRNA from 1 species
UGGGGAAUCUUGGACAAUGGGCGAAAGCCUGAUCCAGCCAUGCCGCGUGAGUGACGAAGGUCUUCGGAUUGUAAAGCUCUUUUGGCGGGGACGAUAAUGACGGUACCCGCAGAAUAAGCCCCGGCUAACUUCGUGCCAGCAGCCGCGGUAAUACGAAGGGGGCUAGCGUUGUUCGGAAUUACUGGGCGUAAAGCGCACGUAGGCGGAUUUGUAAGUCAGGGGUGAAAUCCCGGGGCUCAACCUCGGAACUGCCCUUGAUCCUGCAAAUCUCGAGUCCGAUAGAGGUGAGUGGAAUUCCUAGUGUAGAGGUGAAAUUCGUAGAUAUUAGGAAGAACACCAGUGGCGAAGGCGGCUCACUGGAUCGGUACUGACGCUGAGGUGCGAAAGCGUGGGGAGCAAACAGGAUUAGAUACCCCCGUAGUCCCUGAGCGGGCUGGCAAGGCGCAU